ACAACGGGGUUCGCCCCUUGUCCACAAACACACCCCCGUGCACGUUGAAGGCCCGGCUCGUUGAGUGGGUGGGCGACCGCCCAGGAUUCGUAGCCUCGCUUUCUUACACAAACUUCAGAAUGUACAUCAGAAUGUCUUACGCGUGUAACGCAUCGUAAUAUAACUUUCAGCAACGGAUCUCUUGGCUCUCGCAUCGAUGAAGAACGCAGCGAAAUGCGAUAAGUAAUGUGAAUUGCAGAAUUCAGUGAAUCAUCGAAUCUUUGAACGCACCUUGCGCUCCUUGGCAUUCCGAGGAGCAUGCCUGUUUGAGUGUCAUGAAACUCUCAACCCCUGCCAUCUUUGCGGAUGAGCGUCGGUUGGAUUUUGGAGGUUGCCGGACUCGUUCGGCUCCCCUUGAAAGCAUAGUAAAGCUUGGACCUGACCGACCGGGUGGACGUGAUAGAAAGUCACCGUCGACCGAAGGGUCCGUCGCUGAACGGUUCAAGCUUUGUUUGUCGUCUUCGGACGAACAUCUCUGACCUCUGACCUCAAAUCAGG
rnacentral:rRNA from 1 species